CGUAUCACCCAAGACAACUUUACGGAGUUGACGAUUGACGGAGCGAAGCGACGUCAAAGCGUUCAUUAAAGUCGAGUUGGCUUAGGGAUACGUUCGUUGGGUAGGGGAGCGUUCUGUAAGCCUGUGAAGGUGUGUCGUGAGGCAUGCUGGAGGUAUCAGAAGUGCGAAUGCUGACAUAAGUAACGAUAAAGCGGGUGAAAAGCCCGCUCGCCGGAAGACCAAGGGUUCCUGUCCAACGUUAAUCGGGGCAGGGUGAGUCGACCCCUAAGGCGAGGCCGAAAGGCGUAGUCGAUGGGAAACGGGUUAAUAUUCCCGUACUUGGUGUUACUGCGAAGGGGGGACGGAGAAGGCUAUGUUGGCCGGGCGACGGUUGUCCCGGUUUAAGCGUGUAGGUGUGUGUUCCAGGUAAAUCCGGUUCACUUUAACACUGAGGCGUGACGACGAGGCACUACGGUGCUGAAGCAACAAAUGCCCUGCUUCCAGGAAAA
rnacentral:rRNA from 5 species